rnacentral:rRNA from 1 species
GAGGAAGGGCGUAAGUGACCUGCGGAGGGAUCAUUACACAAAUAUGAAGGCGGGCUGGAACCUCUCGGGGUUACAGCCUUGCUGAAUUAUUCACCCUUGUCUUUUGCGUACUUCUUGUUUCCUUGGUGGGUUCGCCCACCACUAGGACAAACAUAAACCUUUUGUAAUUGCAAUCAGCGUCAGUAACAAAUUAAUAAUUACAACUUUCAACAACGGAUCUCUUGGUUCUGGCAUCGAUGAAGAACGCAGCGAAAUGCGAUAAGUAGUGUGAAUUGCAGAAUUCAGUGAAUCAUCGAAUCUUUGAACGCACAUUGCGCCCUUUGGUAUUCCAAAGGGCAUGCCUGUUCGAGCGUCAUUUGUACCCUCAAGCUUUGCUUGGUGUUGGGCGUCUUGUCUCUAGCUUUGCUGGAGACUCGCCUUAAAGUAAUUGGCAGCCGGCCUACUGGUUUCGGAGCGCAGCACAAGUCGCACUCUCUAUCAGCAAAGGUCUAGCAUCCAUUAAGCCUUUUUUUCAACUUUUGACCUCGGAUCAGGUAGGGAUACCCGCUGAACUUAA